GCGGCGCAUUAGCUAGUUGGUGAGGUAACGGCCCACCAAGGCGACGAUGCGUAGCCGACCUGAGAGGGUGAUCGGCCACAUUGGAACUGAGACACGGUCCAGACUCCUACGGGAGGCAGCAGUGGGGAAUAUUGCACAAUGGGGGAAACCCUGA
rnacentral:rRNA from 1 species